UACGGAGGAUGCGAGCGUUAUCCGGAUUUAUUGGGUUUAAAGGGUGCGCAGGCGGAUUUUUAAGUCAGCGGUCAAAUCGUGGGGCUCAACCCGGGCCGGCCGUUGAAACUGGGGAUCUAGAGUGUGCGAGAAGUAUGCGGAAUGCGUGGUGUAGCGGUGAAAUGCAUAGAUAUCACGCAGAACUCCGAUUGCGAAGGCAGCAUACCGGCGCCCAACUGACGCUGAAGCACGAAAGCGUGGGUAUCGAACAGG
rnacentral:rRNA from 1 species